rnacentral:rRNA from 1 species
UACAGAGGGUGCGAGCGUUAAUCGGAAUUACUGGGCGUAAAGCGUGCGUAGACGGUUAUUUAAGUCGGGUGUGAAAGCCCCGGGCUCAACCUGGGAAUUGCAUUCGAGACUGAAUAGCUAGGGUGCGGUAGAGGGAAGCGGAAUUUCCGGUGUAGCGGUGAAGUGCGUAGAUAUCGGAAGGAACAUCAGUGGCGAAAGCGGCUUCCUGGACCAGCACCGACGUUCAGGCACGAAAGCGUGGGGAGCAAACAGG